rnacentral:rRNA from 1 species
UACGGAGGGGGCUAGCGUUGUUCGGAAUCACUGGGCGUAAAGGGUGCGUAGGCGGGUCUUUAAGUCAGGGGUGAAAUCCUGGAGCUCAACUCCAGAACUGCCUUUGAUACUGAAGAUCUUGAGUUCGGGAGAGGUGAGUGGAACUGCGAGUGUAGAGGUGAAAUUCGUAGAUAUUCGCAAGAACACCAGUGGCGAAGGCGGCUCACUGGCCCGGUACUGACGCUGAGGCACGAAAGCGUGGGGAGCAAACAGG